AGAAAAUGUGCAAACAGACGAAAACAAGAGGAAGUUUGAGCGGGAGAAGGAAACCCGCGCCGCCCCUGCGAUUGCACCACUAUUACCGUUCCCGCUUGCAAUUACAGGAAGACUGAGGCCAUUCGGUGUUGGUUGUUCAUUCGGAACUCGUGUUAGUCGUGGUCAUUAAGUCGGUGACAUGGUGAGACGGAGAGCUACUGUUCAAGACACUGUUCAAAAUGCAGAAGAAAUUGAAGCCACGCCAAGGAGGACAAGAAAACGAGCCAACAAAGAAGCCAUUGAAGAGGUGACUGUGAAGAAACAAGCCCAG